UCACAGAUUCGUCUCUCACUGCAAUCGCCCGCCCUCUCUCACUGGAAUCGUCGAAAAUUAUUUUUCUGCAUCUAUGAUUCUAUUUUUGCUUUUAAAUUCUUAUUUAUGAGAUGGGUUUUCUGUUUUUGUUGAAAUUUUCAAGUGUAUCCAAGGGUGAAACUGAGAAAACAAGUGGAGGAAGAUGAUCAAUGUUUAUGAGAAAAUUUCUUUGCAGUCCGUGAAGACCUUUGAAUGAUUUCUCUUCGUCAGGGGAUCAAUUAUUGAGGUGUGUUUCAAAUUUCGGAGCUGUGGUCAUCGUCUGCACACAUUGAUAACCAUUCUAUUCCAAGCCUCCCAUUUGGUUCUACCCGAGAAUGCACGGCUGUAGGGCCAUAUUUUGCAGAGUAGCAAUUUGCGGUACGUAAAAACAGUCAUCGAGCAUUUUGUUAUUUUGUGAGGUGAUUGAUGAAGAUAGCAUGGGCCUGAACGGUAUUGCAUUUCUUCCCCUCACUUUCUACCUGCUUUGUCUCAAAAUACUCAUUUUACUGAUGUAUGACGGCCUAUGUGCAAAUUCAUACUUAUGACCUGAACAAGCGUCAAAGUGUUGAUCGACAUGUUCUUGCUAUAUUGGGAGGUGGAACCAAUCGAUGUCCCCGUCAAAGAAAGAGCGACGUUGACAAUGUUCCACUUUGGGUGAUUGCAGAGAAUGCACAGAAGAACAUUUUGUUUUACAUUAUUGUAUACUUAUUUUUUGGAAAAUGUUGGUUAUGUUCAAGUGACAUUCAUUGUCAAAGAAACUGUGUGGAUAUAGUACAGAAAAUGUUGGUGCGCAAACUAUU